rnacentral:lncRNA from 1 species
UUCACACUAAAAGAUCAUUUCAUCAUUCAUCCAAAGGAAACUUACAAGGGUGUGAUACAUGGAUGGGAUGCGUUUUGAUAAACAGAGCUAGCAAGAACAUAAGUUCCUAGAGACAACAGGCAGCAUAAUUACAUGAAUUCUCUGGAGCCAAAAUUAAACUAAACAACCAAGAUUAAAGCUCAGAACCAGCAGAAGCUUAGAAACAUUAAACAAGAGCCAAAGCAAAUGAAGCCAUCGCAGGAGAAGGAAGGAGAUAAGCGCACACCACAGACAAACACUAUAACCGAGUAUCAAAAUGCUAUUUAUCAUCACAUUUUAUAUAAUAACGAAGAAUUAUUACGCCUAGAAGAAGUGUCAAUGAGCUGGAGUCAUAAAAACCACAUUGUCCCCUAAAAUUAGGCCUAGAUAUUGUAAAUAUUCAGGCAUUUUGUUGAGCAAUGAGUGCUUAAUAAUUUGGACAUAUUGUCAUCAUUAGUUAUAACAAAUUCUCCUUUUCAUUUCCUUGACUAAAGUACAUCUAUAUGGGGAUAUAAACAUAUGUAAAAGGGUCUUCCUGCCCGAAAAAGACAAAGUAAGA